UACGGAGGGUGCAAGCGUUGUUCGGAUUUACUGGGCGUAAAGGGCGUGUAGGCGGAAGCGCAAGCCGAAGGUGAAAGCCCCGGGCUCAACCCGGGAAGUGCUUUCGGAACUGCGGUUCUAGAGAGAGCUAGAGGCAGGUGGAAUUCCGGGUGUAGAGGUGAAAUUCGUAGAGAUCCGGAGGAACACCGGCGGCGAAGGCGGCCUGCUGGAGCUCAUCUGACGCUGAGGCGCGAAAGCGUGGGGAGCAAACAGG
rnacentral:rRNA from 1 species